UCCCCUGCGCAUCGGUGGCUGCGUGCACGGCUGGGAGUUGGGGAGCACGCACGGGGAGGGGGGACUGCUGCCGCAAUGCGCGCCUCCGCCGGGGCCUGGGCAACCAGAUGGAGCGAGCGGGCUGUGCUUGCGCUCCCCGCCUGGGGCUAUAGCGGCUAUAAAAGCUUCACCACCUGCUUCCACUAGGGCGUCCGGUUGCUUGAAGGAGCCAGUUCACUUCCUCCCGCCGCAUCUCCGCUGGACAUGGACCCUGAGACCUGCUCCUGCCCUACUGGUGGUUCCUGCACCUGUGCCGGCUCCUGCAAGUGCGAGGGAUGCAAAUGCACCUCCUGCAAGAAGAGCUGCUGCCCCGCAGAGUGUGAGAAAUGCGCCAAGGAUUGUGUGUGCAAAGGUGGAGAGGGGACAGGCAAGGAAGCGGAGAAGUGCAACUGCUCCCAGUGAGACGAGGACAUGCCUUCUGUGUGAACCAUGUGUAAAUCGUGCUGUGUGGCCCAGUGCCACCUCUCCCUGUGCGGAGGCUCAGCUGUGUUUUCCCCUCCCAUGCUAGCUGCUGGCAUGUGACAAUAAAUCCUAUGACUGGCAUAC